UGGGGAAUAUUGCGCAAUGGGGGGAACCCUGACGCAGCAACGCCGCGUGCAGGAAGAAGGCCUUCGGGUUGUAAACUGUUGUCGCAGGGGAAGAAGACAGUGACGGUACCCUGUGAGAAAGUCACGGCGAACUACGUGCCAGCAGCCGCGGUAAUACGUAGGUGACAAGCGUUGUCCGGAUUUACUGGGUGUAAAGGGCGCGUAGGCGGGAUAGCAAGUCAGUCGUGAAAUGCCGAGGCUUAACCUCGGAGCUGCGAUUGAAACUGUUAUUCUUGAGUAUCGGAGAGGAAAGCGGAAUUCCUAGUGUAGCGGUGAAAUGCGUAGAUAUUAGGAGGAACACCAGUGGCGAAGGCGGCUUUCUGGUCUGCAACUGACGCUGAGGCUCGAAAGCAUGGGUAGCGAACAGG
rnacentral:rRNA from 1 species